GCUGUUGACGAAGAGAUGGAGGGAAUAAAAGAAACAGGCCAAAAGUCCACCCCCUCCCCCAGCCUCCGGGCUCCCCGCCCCAGGAGGGGGGCGGAGAGGACUUAUGGGAGUGACUGAACAAACGGAUACGGUCAAGGAGCCCCCCCCCCCCCCCCGGAGGCGGUGGGAGCCAAGGGGAAGUGUCUCUGACUCAGCCUUCAUCGGGGGGCCAGAGAAUGGGCAGAGAGGGACGUGACAGAGGUGACCGAGAGACCGUGCGUGCUCCCAGACGUACCUUCGGUGUGGCAGAAUCCGCGGCACAGAACCACUCUCCUGGAUGUUGCGCUGGUGUCCCAGACACCCCUUCCACUCUCCGAAUCCCUGUCUGGUCCUGGCUGGAAGGCACCGUCCUGCGCUUCUGUUUCAGCUCCGGUCCCUCCCGGCGUCCCAGUCAGACCUCGGGGGCGGUACGGGCGCAGGCUGCCAGACACCCGGCCGCUGCUGUGCACCCUGGUCUCAAUGCUGCCGUCUGCUCGGGCUCAUCCAAGGGAACCGAGGGGAAACCGAGGCGCCGGAGAAGCCAAAGACCGCUCUCCUCACCGCUGGUCCCUGCUGUGCGUUCUCACUGCAGCCGUCCGCGGCCCAGACUAGUGUUCGAGGAAGUCUGCCCACCCUCCCCCUUUAAAUAAAAGAUCAGCUCGAAACCCA